rnacentral:rRNA from 1 species
AUACGGAGGGUGCAAGCGUUACUCGGAAUUACUGGGCGUAAAGCGCGCGUAGGCGGUCUAUUAAGUCAGAUGGGAAAUCCCAGGGCUCAACCUUGGAACUGCAUCUGAUACUGGUAGACUAGAGUUUUGGAGAGGGAAGUAGAAUUUCAGGUGUAGCGGUGAAAUGCAUAGAGAUCUGAAGGAAUACCAGUGGCGAAGGCGACUUCCUGGCCAAAAACUGACGCUGAGGUGCGAAAGCGUGGGUAGCAAACGGGAUUAGAAACCCCUGUAGUCC